GUACUCCAGCCUGGGUGAAAGAGCAAGAUGUCGUCUCAAAAAAAAAAAUUGUUUACUUUCCAGUGUCAUUUUAACUUGUUACUAGUGAGCAUCUGGCCUGGGUGUUUUCCAUUAGCAUGAAAAUUCAGAAGGCUACAGAAGGAAAUACCUAUAAUUGAGCAGCGAGAGAGCCACUUCAUUCUGUGGCCAGGCAAUAUGUCUUGCAUUUCUCUAGUGUAAAUAAAAUGAUGAUUCAAAGAAUGGUCCCCAUUAAUGAGUAUCUGAUUUAGAAUAAAACAAAAUCCAUGCUGGGAAGUUGAUGAGCUUGAUUUUGCUGAAUUGCUUUGAGCUUGCAGCUUAUAUUUAUUGGUUCUUUCCUUUCGACAAUUGUCACCAGUUGUCUGCUGUUCUUUCGGGAGAGGGCUUGAAGGUUGAUUUUAGUUCCCUGUAACUGGAGGUGACAUGUGAAAGCUCAAAGCUAUUGAAAAGUUGCAAAGGCUUCCACACACAACUGCAGUAGGGAGGGCGCAGGAAGUGGGUCAACGCUUUUGGAGGACUGGGUGAAGUUCAGGAUCCUGAGGCCCUACUUUUUGGUCGCCCAGGGUGAGAGCUGAAUGUAGGCUCCAACAGGAAGACGGCAUUGAAGCCUGGUUGCUUGUUACUACUCAGAAUGCCAUCUACAAAAGGAAAUUAUGUAAAAAGCAAUAAAGAACCCCUUUUGUUCUUGCAGG
rnacentral:lncRNA from 10 species